rnacentral:rRNA from 1 species
AUUGAACGCUGGCGGCAUGCCUAACACAUGCAAGUCGAACGGUAACGACGGGAGCUUGCUCCCGGGCGACGAGUGGCGGACGGGUGAGUAACACUUAGGAAUCUGCCCAGUAGUGGGGGACAACAUUCGGAAACGGAUGCUAAUACCGCAUACGCACUACGGUGGAAAGUGGGGACCUUCGGGCCUCACGCUAUUGGAUGAGCCUAAGUCGGAUUAGCUUGUUGGUGAGGUAAAGGCUCACCAAGGCGACGAUCCGUAGCUGGUCUGAGAGGACGAUCAGCCACACUGGGACUGAGACACGGCCCAGACUCCUACGGGAGGCAGCAGUGGGGAAUAUUGGACAAUGGGCGCAAGCCUGAUCCAGCAAUGCCGCGUGUGUGAAGAAGGCCUGCGGGUUGUAAAGCACUUUCAGUAGAGAAGAAAAGCCUAGGGUUAAUACCCCUGAGUCUUGACGUAACCUACAGAAGAAGCACCGGCUAACUCCGUG